AGGGGAUGGCAUGAGAAAACUUUUGUCUUAUAGGAUUCUCUGGCUGGCCUCUAUGUAGACCAGAUAGGACGGACAGACACUGAGAACAGGCACGCUAUUUCCUUGGAGCCUAACCGGUGCUUCUGGUACAUACUGAACUCGGAUUCCACUAGCAGUUUCACACUAUACUGCAGAGGAGGCAACUUCCAGUCCACUGACACCCCAGAGCACUCUGCUGAUCUUGUCUUUCUUCUCCGUGAACAUGCCAGCAGCUCAAGCAGAUGUGCCCCACCCCCACUCCCCUGUGCAGGGCAUUGCUAAAGCAGGCACUUCUGAACCACGCAACUAAAAGGGAGGACACUCGUGAAGAGCCCUGAUACAAAGACACGGCGUGCAAGGAGCUAUUCAUUUUCUUAAAGGGUCUCCCACUGAACCUGAAGCUCUCCUUUUCAGCUGGACUGGCUGACAGUGGGUUCCUGGAAUUGACCUAUCUCUGCCCCUCAACAAUGAAGUUAUACUUUUAUGAACAGCCGUGACCAGAUUUUUUUACAUGGGUUCUGAGGAUUCGAACUAAGGUCCUCACGCUUGUACCACAAGUGUUCUCACCCAUUGAGCCAUCUUCCUUGCUCCCUAUAGGAAAUGUCUCCAGCUACUGGGGUGGUUUUCUAUGCCAUAGCUGUGUCAUGUCCAGAAGAAAGCAUUACUCAACUCUGAAUCCCAGACAAUGACAAUCCUGAAGGUGGUGCCUGGAGCAAAGGGGGCACGAAAGGAUUGGUGGGCAAGGAAAGACUGCUAGGAAAGGAAAACUCAUUCUUUUUGGAGGGUGUGGUCACUGAUAGAUUUCCCAUGCUUCAUUGUGGGGCACACAUGCAGCUAAAGAUGGACAGCACUAAAUGGAUUUAGUGGUUUACCAGGAAAAAAGAAGAAGAUGGCAUGAAGUUGGGAGGCAGAUGUGUGGUGGAGGAUGUGGAGGGGCUUGGAAGAGGGAAACGAUAGUGGACAUGAUCAUGUUUCAUUGUAUAAAUGCAUAAAAUUCUCAAGAAUAAAGAAAACAUCCU